rnacentral:misc_RNA from 1 species
ACUCCCCCUCAAGUGGCAACCAUUGAAAUUCUCCCCCUUGAACCUUGAAAUUCUCUCCCUUAAACCUUGAUGCAGCUACAACACCUGAAACUUUGAUACUUGAAUUGAACAGGGCUAAACCUGCUCUUAUAUCAUAUUAUAAACUUGAAUUGAAUGGGCGGAGGGGAGUGAGUGGGUCAUGAAGUGUGAGAUGGGCAUACUUGAACCAACCAAAAA